UACGUAGGUGACAAGCGUUGUCCGGAUUUACUGGGGGUAAAGAGCGCGCAGGCGGUCGAUCAAGUCGAGUGUGAAAGCCCCCGGCUCAACUGGGGAGGGUCAUUCGAUACUGAUCGACUCGAAGGCAGGAGAGGGUAGUGGAAUUCCCGGUGUAGUGGUGAAAUGCGUAGAUAUCGGGAGGAACACCAGUGGCGAAGGCGACUACCUGGCCUGUUCUUGACGCUGAGGCGCGAAAGCUAGGGGAGCAAACGGG
rnacentral:rRNA from 1 species